rnacentral:sRNA from 1 species
GUUUGCACUUGUCGGGGAAGGGUGAGAACCUUCGAUUAAGGUUCGACUCGAGCGAAAGCGAGAGAACGUUGCCAACGGCAACGGCCCGUAGGGUGAGGAGCUUUAGCUCCGAAUAAUCCUUCCCGCUAUAGAA